CAGGAGGGAAAUUGCCCAAUAAUAAAAAUUCAAGGAAGAAAUUAGCCAAUUAUAAAAUAUUAAGAGGAUAAUCGGUUAAAAUUAAAGUUAGGAAAGAAAUUGACAGUUCUUUACAAGUUCGAGGUAGAAGUCGACCCAAUUCCCCAAAUGUGUCAGUGAGAACUGAGAAAUGAUAUUGAUUUCAAGUUAUGAUAUUUCAAAUAUUUGUACUGGGUAGGUGUUCAUACUAUAAUCGGUUAUUUAACAUAUUGGGGCCGGAUUGGGCCGACCGGCCCGACCAUAAUCCAAAAGGGAUCAAAACGUUACAAAGUUUACCGCCACCAACCAUUUUCUCACCAGACAAAAUCCAACACAAAAGGAGGAAAGAAAACUCCCCCCCAAUCUAAAACCAUGAAAUCUCUGUCUCCAGUCCGACCAAUCACAACCCUUCCAAAACUCCCUCCUCCCACCUCUUGCCCGAAAAUCUCCGCUCUAGUCAAUGUCGCUACGCCUGCGCUCAAUUUCCGGGUUCCACGACACCUGAUUUGCCUGCGGAAUGAUACCCGGAAGCCCCAAACUGCUGUAAGAUCUCAGUUUUCUUCAAACCCACAGAGCAAUGAAGACCCAGAUGCCCAAGUUCAAGACCUUGUGGUCCCACAACAUUGGUUGAUCCCCCUCCAAGGCCUUGGAGGAAUCAGAGUGGCUGAGGGUUACUUUGCACAAGUGGUUGGACGAUGAGUACUGCCCGGAAUCCACCAAUGUCGAAAUCAGCAAGAUUGCUGCUCAAUCGUUCUACAAAUCUCUACUUGAAAAACAGACGGAUUUGGGUGAGAUUUUGUUGAAGAUGGCCAUAGAAUUGGAAUCCAUUUCGUACCAGGAAAGCUUCCACGGCGCGUUCUCAUCAGCGAACGCCGCCGUGAAUUUGAUUUCCCAACGGAUAGAGCAGGCGUAAUUGUCACUCGGUCCAGUUCAAGGUUUUCAAAAUUUAUCUUGUCCUGCAUUUCCUAUGUGGUAGUAUAUGUUCUCUCGAAACGUCCACCUUUUAAGCAGUAAGUUUUCUGUAAAGAACGGACGUCCUGCAGAGAGAAUCUUCGAUAUAAUGAAUA